rnacentral:rRNA from 1 species
CAGUAGCCACGGUAAUACGGAGGGUGCAAGCGUUAAUCGGAAUUACUGGGCGUAAAGCGCACGCAGGCGGUCUGUCAAGUCAGAUGUGAAAUCCCCGGGCUUAACCUGGGAACUGCAUUUGAAACUGGCAGGCUAGAGUCUUGUAGAGGGGGGUAGAAUUCCAGGUGUAGCGGUGAAAUGCGUAGAGAUCGGGAGGAACAUCAGUGGCGAAGGCGGCCAUCUGGGACAACACUGACGCUGAGGCACGAAAGCGUGGGGAGCAAACAGGAUUAGAUACCCGCGUAGUCCCUGUCUCUUAUAA